AUGGUCCUUAUUGACUCCGUUCUGGGUCUGGAUCCCGUGGUCCUUAUUGACUCCGUUCUGGGUCUGGAUCCCGCGGUCCUUAUUGACUCCGUUCUGGGUCACGAUCCCGCGGUCCUUAUUGACUCCGUUCUGGGUCUGGAUCCCAUGGUCCUUAUUGACUCCGUUCUGGGUCUGGAUCCCAUGGUCCUUAUUGACUCCGUUCUGGGUCUGGAUACCGCGGUCCUUAUUGACUCCGUUCUGCUGGAUCCCAUGGUCCUUAUUGACUCCGUUCUGGGUCUGGAUCCCGUGGUCCUUAUUGACUCCGUUCUGGGUCUGGAUCCCGCGGUCCUUAUUGACUCCGUUCUGGGUCUGGAUCCCAUGGUCCUUAUUGACUCCGUUCUGGGUCUGGAUCCCAUGGUCCUUAUUGACUCCGUUCUGGGUCUGGAUCCCGCGGUCCUUAUUGACUCCGUUCUGGGUCUGGAUCCCAUGGUCCUUAUUGACUCCGUUCUGGGUCUGGAUCCCGCGGUCCUUAUUGACUCCGUUCUGGGUCUGGAUCCCGCGGUCCUUAUUGACUCCGUUCUGGGUCACGAUCCCGCGGUCCUUAUUGACUCCGUUCUGGGUCUGGAUCCCAUGGUCCUUAUUGACUCCGUUCUGGGUCUGGAUCCCAUGGUCCUUAUUGACUCCGUUCUGGGUCUGGAUACCGCGGUCCUUAUUGACUCCGUUCUGCUGGAUCCCAUGGUCCUUAUUGACUCCGUUCUGGGUCUGGAUCCCGCGGUCCUUAUUGACUCCGUUCUGGGUCUGGAUCCCGCGGUCCUUAUUGACUCCGUUCUGGGUCUGGAUCCCGCGGUCCUUAUUGACUCCGUUCUGGGUCUGGAUCCCAUGGUCCUUAUUGACUCCGUUCUGGGUCUGGAUCCCGCGGUCCUUAUUGACUCCGUUCUGGGUCUGGAUCCCAUGGUCCUUAUUGACUCCGUUCUGGCUGGUAUAGUGUACCAUAUCGCCAGUUCAUGUUACCACCAUCCACCUGACAGAACUAUAUUCAUGUUACCACCAUCCCCCUGA
rnacentral:lncRNA from 1 species